AAUGAACGCUGGCGGCGUGCCUAAUACAUGCAAGUCGAGCGAACGGACGAGAAGCUUGCUUCUCUGAUGUUAGCGGCGGACGGGUGAGUAACACGUGGAUAACCUACCUAUAAGACUGGGAUAACUUCGGGAAACCGGAGCUAAUACCGGAUAAUAUUUUGAACCGCAUGGUUCAAAAGUGAAUGACGGUCUUGCUGUCUCUUAUAGAUGGAUCCGCGCUGCAUUAGCUAGUUGGUAAGGUAACGGCUUACCAAGGCAACGAUGCUUAGCGGACCUGAUAGGGUGAUCGGCCACACUGGAACUGAGACACGGUCCAGACUCCUACGGGAGGCAGCAGUAGGGAAUAUUCCGCAAUGGGCGAAAGCCUGACGGAGCAACGCCGCGUGAGUGAAGAAGGUCUUCGGAUCGUAAAACUCUGUUAUUAGGGAAGAAAAGAAGUGUAAGAAAAUGUGCACAUCUUGACGGUACCUAAACAGAAAGCAACGGCUAACUACGUG
rnacentral:rRNA from 1 species